CCGUGAACCUUUACUAUAGCUUGACACUGAACAUUGAGCCUUGAUGUGUAGGAUAGGUGGGAGGCUUUGAAGUGUGGACGCCAGUCUGCAUGGAGCCGACCUUGAAAUACCACCCUUUAAUGUUUGAUGUUCUAACGUGGACCCGUGAUCCGGGUUGCGGACAGUGUCUGGUGGGUAGUUUGACUGGGGCGGUCUCCUCCUAAAGAGUAACGGAGGAGCACGAAGGUUGGCUAAUCCUGGUCGGACAUCAGGAGGUUAGUGCAAUGGCAUAAGCCAGCUUGACUGCGAGCGUGACGGCGCGAGCAGGUGCGAAAGCAGGUCAUAGUGAUCCGGUGGUUCUGAAUGGAAGGGCCAUCGCUCAACGGAUAAAAGGUACUCCGGGGAUAACAGGCUGAUACCGCCCAAGAGUUCAUAUCGACGGCGGUGUUUGGCACCUCGAUGUCGGCUCAUCACAUCCUGGGGCUGAAGUAGGUCCCAAGGGUAUGGCUGUUCGCCAUUUAAAGUGGUACGCGAGCUGGGUUUAGAACGUCGUGAGACAGUUCGGUCCCUA
rnacentral:rRNA from 1 species